rnacentral:rRNA from 1 species
UAAGGUCACGGCGAGACGAGCCGUUUACCACUACGUACGAUAGGUGUCAAGUGGAAGUGCAGUGAUGUAUGCAGCUGAGGCAUCCUAACAGACCGAAAGAUUUGAAC